rnacentral:rRNA from 1 species
CCGGCACGGGUGAGUAACACGUAUCCAACCUGCCGUCUACUCUUGGACAGCCUUCUGAAAGGAAGAUUAAUACAAGAUGGCAUCAUGAGUCCGCAUGUUCACAUGAUUAAAGGUAUUCCGGUAGACGAUGGGGAUGCGUUCCAUUAGAUAGUAGGCGGGGUAACGGCCCACCUAGUCUUCGAUGGGUAGGGGUUCUGAGAGGAAGGUCCCCCACAUUGGAACUGAGACACGGUCCAA